AUUGAACGCUGGCGGCAGGCCUAACACAUGCAAGUCGAACGAACCCUUCGGGGUUAGUGGCGGACGGGUGAGUGACACGUGGGAACGUGCCUUUAGGUUCGGAAUAACUCAGGGAAACUUGUGAUAAUACCGAAUGUGCCCUUCGGGGGAAAGAUUUAUCGCCUUUAGAGCGGCCCGCGUCUGAUUAGCUAGUUGGUGAGGUAAUGGCUCACCAAGGCUACGAUCAGUAGCUGGUCUGAGAGGAUGACCGGCCACAUUGGGACUGAGACACGGCCCAAACUCCUACGGGAGGCAGCAGUGGGGAAUCUUGCGCAAUGGGAGAAAGCCUGACGCAGCUAUGCCGCGUGGAUGGUGAAGGUCUUAGGAUUGUAAAAUCCUUUCACCGGUGAAGAUAAUGACUGUAGCCGGAGAAGAAGCCCCGGCUAACUUCGUGCCAGCCGCCGCGGUAACAC
rnacentral:rRNA from 1 species